rnacentral:rRNA from 1 species
UACGAAGGGUGCAAGCGUUACUCGGAAUUACUGGGCGUAAAGCGUGCGUAGGUGGUGAGUUAAGUCUGUCGUGAAAGCCCCGGGCUCAACCUGGGAAUUGCAUUCGAGACUGCAUGGCUAGGAUGCGGAAGAGGGAAGCGGAAUUUCCGGUGUAGCGGUGAAAUGCGUAGAUAUCGGAAGGAACGCCGGUGGCGAAAGCGGUCUGCUGGAUCUCUUCUGACGGCUGAGGCGCGAAAGCCAGGGGAGCAACGGG